rnacentral:tmRNA from 1 species
GGGGGUGACACGGUUUCGACUCUGAGGGUCGAAGCGCCGGAAGCGAGCCGAGGUCCCCGGAGUCCUCGUUAAAGAACCGGGACAACUAUGAGUGCCGACAACGAUCUGGCACUGGCUGCCUAACUAAAGCAGCCCGUUCGCCGGUUGGGUUCCCUCCCCGAUCGAACGAGCGUCAUCUUGGGGGAUGCCCCUGCCGGGGCACCGGGACCGGCAGGUCAAGCACAAUUCCGGGUACGGCGACGGGGAACUCGCCGGUAGAGUCCCGACGCCCGACAAUCUCGCUAUCGGCUGCGCUCGGAGAUGCCGGCGUGGAAGCCUCAGAGGACCGGGGUUCGACUCCCCGCACCUCCACCA